UUCUAGUAGGGAAGGGAGCCGUGGUGGUUAGGACAUCUGCUCCCUUCUCAGAGCCAGAGGAAGGAGUCCUGUGAUGCCUGAAACCUGGAUUUGGGGACCUUCUGGGGCAGCAAGCAGAGCUGACAAGCACUUCCCACUCCCAGCUGUACAGAUGUCAGACCAGCAAUCUACGCCCUUGUCGAGGUGGCCCCACACAGCUUCUCAUGGCAUCUCCGCUGCAGGGUCUCUGGACCUCAGGACCCUUCAGCCAGCUCUGCUCUCAGUUUCUGCACUACUCGGACAUUGUUCUCCCUCUGCCACUGAGGAUUUGUCUGUAUAACAGCCGAGUUUCCAGAAGUUCAUUCACUCAGGAUUGUGUAAGCACCUAAGUCCCUGAAUUAAGCCCCUUGGCAUCUACGUGGAAUACCCCGAAGAGAUUCUGCCAUUAGAAGAGUUUUCUGAACCUUGACUGGGUGCAUGGCCUGAGGACUUUGCUACUGUGAGGUUGACCCCUGCUGGGCAGCAGUGAUGGCAGAAGCCUCAAACGGGACAGCUUCAUUUUGGGAAAUGACACUAAAAGGCGAGAAUGGAGGAGCAAUGAUUUGGAAGGAACCUAAGUCCUUGAGUGAUCAUGAGGAGCAGAGAUGCCCUGCUUACCUCCACCUUUCACAGAGGCAAGAGAAAGAAACUUUCUUGUUCAUUUGGCUGUUACAUGAUUGGGUGACGGAAAGGUGUCAGCCUCUCAGCUCAAACUAGUUUGUGAUUGCUCUUCUUCAGAACAGAUGACUCAGCUGAGGAAUCAAACAGCCAAGGGGCAGAAAAUUACAGUUGGUGUUGGUGGAGGGAAGCAGGUCUGAA
ensembl:lncRNA